rnacentral:misc_RNA from 1 species
GAAAUGCGAUAAGUAAUGUGAAUUGCAGAAUUCAGUGAAUCAUCGAAUCCUUGAACGCACAUUGCGCCCCUUGGUAUUCCGGGGGGCGCGCCUGUCCGAGCGUCAUUCCACACGUCAGGCCCUGCCCUGAUCCUGGGGGUCCCGCGGGGCUGAGCCCCCGCGGGCCCCCUAAAUCUAGCGGCGACCGGCGCCGCCUGGCCGCGAGCGAUCUAGGCUUGAUCCCCGCUCUCCCAGGUGCGUCGGGUCGUCCCACCAGCGACGUACUUUUACCCUGACCUCGGAUCAGGCGGGGCUACCCGCUGAACUUAA